rnacentral:rRNA from 1 species
GUGACGGUAGUGGUAGAAGAAGCACCGGCUAACUACGUGCCAGCAGCCGCGGUAAUACGUAGGGUGCGAGCGUUGUCCGGAAUUACUGGGCGUAAAGAGCUCGUAGGUGGUUUGUCACGUCGUCUGUGAAAUUCCGGGGCUUAACUCCGGGCGUGCAGGCGAUACGGGCAUAACUUGAGUACUGUAGGGGAGACUGGAAUUCCUGGUGUAGCGGUGAAAUGCGCAGAUAUCAGGAGGAACACCGAUGGCGAAGGCAGGUCUCUGGGCUGUUACUGACGCUGAGGAGCGAAAGCAUGGGGAGCGAACAGGAUUAGAUACCCUGGUAGUCCAUGCCGUAAACGUUGGGCACUAGGUGUGGGGGACAUUCCACGUUUUCCGCGCCGUAGCUAACGCAUUAAGUGCCCCGCCUGGGGAGUACGGCCGCAAGGCUA